CACGCCGUCCUGCACACGGCAGACGCUCAGUGGCCGCUGAUCUCCAAAUCUGCGAAUUGUCAUGUAUGCGUUGCUGGAACUCCACAGAGGGACAGGAGAGAGACUGUAAACUUCAAAUGUCCGUUAAUAAACACUGUCCAAAACGCCAUGCCCUUCGCUUCGCCAUCAAAAGACACAAUUAAGAGCUGCUUCAGACUUUCUGGAAGACCAAACACGAAUUUUCCACGGACUUUAAUUACAUCCCGCGACAGGCUCAACCACACUAAUGAUCAUCUCUUGCCGUACACCCACGAACAGUGUCGGUACCAG